rnacentral:lncRNA from 1 species
AUUCAUCCCUAAAGAAAAGGUGGAUGACAGUAGAGUGAGCUGUCAGAAGGACUGAAGGUUUCCCUCUCUGCUGCUGACGGCGUGGACAGUUGAUGAAGUGUUCUGGGAUAAAGCCCGGUCCGGGAGCGUCAGAGCUCUGAUGAAUGAUGUCCUCGCCUCACAGCAUGAAGCCGCGGUGGCCACAGCAUGAAGCCGAAGUCCUCCAGUACGGAGACUGAAUACUUCUGUGGAGAAGAAAGUCAUUACCUCAGUCUUUCCUUGAGUAUGGUGCCACAGACAGUUCUGCUCCCCACCCG